rnacentral:lncRNA from 1 species
GAUAAACAGUUAUGAAUGUCCGUUCGUGGUCAAAAAGGUCUCCUCUGACAGAGCCUUGUUGUUGACGAUUACGGAUGGUGAGGAUUUGCCACACCCUGGGAAUGCGGACGCAGUUAGAAAAUACUUCGUAAAUUGACCCGCUGGACGAAAAGAAUAAAAGAGUCCAGGAAAAAAAGGGCAUCCCGGCGAACCAAAAAAAA